ensembl:snRNA U6 U6 spliceosomal RNA
UGUCAGUGCUUGGUAGUAUGGUCUUGAAACUGGAAUGGUCAGAGAAGAUUAGAAUGGUCUCCACACAAGGAUGACACCAAAAUUUGGGAAGAGGUUCAUGUUUAU